rnacentral:rRNA from 1 species
UACGUAGGGCGCAAGCGUUGUCCGGAAUUAUUGGGCGUAAAGAGCUCGUAGGCGGCCUGUUGCGUCCGCUGUGAAAUCCCGGGGCUCAACCCCGGGCCUGCAGUGGAUACGGGCUGGCUAGAGGCAGGCAGGGGAGAACGGAAUUCCUGGUGUAGCGGUGAAAUGCGCAGAUAUCGGGAAGAACACCCGUGGCGAAGGCGGCUCUCUGGGACGGUACUGACGCUGAAGCACGAAAGCGUGGGGAGCAAACAGG